rnacentral:rRNA from 1 species
UACGUAGGGUGCAAGCGUUGUCCGGAAUUAUUGGGCGUAAAGAGCUCGUAGGCGGCUUGUCGCGUCGGCUGUGAAAACCUGGGGCUCAACCCCGAGCCUGCAGUCGAUACGGGCAGGCUAGAGUCCGGCAGGGGAGACUGGAAUUCCUGGUGUAGCGGUGAAAUGCGCAGAUAUCAGGAGGAACACCGGUGGCGAAGGCGGGUCUCUGGGCCGGAACUGACGCUAAGGAGCGAAAGCGUGGGGAGCGAACAGG